GCUUCGGUGAAUCGGUGCUUCGUCUACGACGGGGCGCGUUUGAACAUUAUAAUACAUGUAUGUUUGUUUUCCAUGGUUUCAUAACGCCGUUUUUUAGUGUAAUUUAGGUGACGUCCUGUUUACGUGAAGAUUGACAGCCGUCCUAGCAGAGAAGAAGGUACAGCGGAAGAUUCCCAUUUGGACCAUUUUUUUUCUUUUAUUUGAUGCUAUUUCUCAACAAGGUGCUCCGGCAGCUGCCCUGGAGGACCCAAGUGCUCAUUUACCCGCCUGGUCCGAUCUAAAGUAGAGCCAUGCAGGCGCCGCCAUUGUUUCUGCUGCUUCUCGCCGCUCUUCCAUCUCUUGUGGUGCCCAUACAUAAUUCAUCAGCCAAAGGCUGCGCCAUCAUCCGGCCUCCGAGAGAUGGAGGGAUUCGAUACAGAGGCCUGACGCAAGAGCAG